UCACUCUGGUUUCCCUUCAAUGGACGGAUAAAUCUUUCGCCUUUUACUAAAGAUUUCCGUGGCGGGGAACGAUUCGAUGAGUCUAUAUGACUAUUUUUUUUUAAGCCCGGCAAUAGCUGGGCU